AAAGAUAAUCAAAUUUAGUGGCGAGUCAUUGUAGUUCCCCUCCGCACCCGCAGGGGGUCGUCGUGUCAGCAGCGACCGGUGAGGACACUCGUAUUACUGUAGAAGAAACUGCAUGUUUUCAUAGCAACAGCAGCAUGGCUAAACGCAAGUACGACAGCGAGUACAUUAAAUAUGGAUUUUCCUACAUCGAAGACAAAGGAGUCCAAAAGCACGCAUCUGAAUAAACUUUUCGAGCGGUUUAGCGACUACUUUCCCGAUAAACAACCCGAGGACGACUGGGUGCGCGACCCGUUUGGAAUAAACAUGGAAAGCAUCACGUUGCCUAGCAGCGAUGAAUGUCAGCUGGUGGAGCUAUCAUGUGACCGCACUCUCAGAAAGAAAUUCACAGAGGUGCAAUCCUGUGGGGGAGAAGCGCAUGUGGCAGCAGCUGAAGAUGAAAUAUAAGAACAUUGUUCAAACGGCCAACAGAAAGAAAGCAGAUGCCUGUAAAAAGGGAGGAGGCCCAGCACCACCACUUGUAACGGAGGCAGAGGAGCUGGUCCUAAGCCAGAAUUUGGGAAGGCCAGUGGCUGAGGGAAUCCCUGGAGAGAGCUCAUCCUGAGACCACAUCCCAAGACACAGGUGCUUUUAUAAAAGUGGAAGCUGAAUUAGUGAGGAAGACUCCUGCUCCUGUCAUCUCUAAGCUCCUCACACAUCUUUACCUGCACAUGAGGAAAAUCACUCCUGUAGAAUGCAGGUAUGUUUGUCAUUAUUAUAAAAAGAUGUUGCCUGGUGACCUGUCAGAAACCCAUUAUACAGAGUCAGCCAAAAUAAUGUUUACACACAUCAGGAAAAGAAAAACUUGCAUCAAUAUUUCAA